UUUCCUUCACAUGUAAUGAUGU
rnacentral:piRNA from 1 species